rnacentral:rRNA from 1 species
UUAUUGGAGAGUUUGAUCCUGGCUCAGGACGAACGCUGGCGGCAUGCCUAAUACAUGCAAGUCGAGCGGAGUUGAUAGGAAGCUUGCUUCCUUGAGACUUAGCGGCGGACGGGUGAGUAACACGUAGGCAACCUGCCCUCAAGCUUGGGACAACUACCGGAAACGGUAGCUAAUACCGAAUACUUGUUUUCUUCGCCUGAAGGGAACUGGAAAGACGGAGCAAUCUGUCACUUGAGGAUGGGCCUGCGGCGCAUUAGCUAGUUGGUGAGGUAACGGCU